UACGGAGGGUGCGAGCGUUGUCCGGAAUCACUGGGCGUAAAGGGCGCGUAGGCGGCCUGAUAAGUAGGGGGUGAAAUCCUGCGGCUUAACCGCAGGGCUGCCUUCUAAACUGUCAGGCUGGAGCACAGUAGAGGCAGGUGGAAUUCCCGGUGUAGCGGUGGAAUGCGUAGAGAUCGGGAAGAACAUCAGUGGCGAAGGCGGCCUGCUGGGCUGUUGCUGACGCUGAGGCGCGACAGCGUGGGGAGCAAACAGGG
rnacentral:rRNA from 1 species